AAUUUGACACUUCAACUUGCCGUGGUUCUCUACGGUAGUUGAUUCAGUCACUCACACACACACACACACAUCAACGCUACCUUGGGUGCUUUUUCUUGUAUCUGUGAAGUGGAAAGGAACGCAGUAUACACGAGAUUCUGAAAAACAAACCGGAUUUCUUCUCCAAGCCGAGGUUCCAAGAUAAAACUCACAAAGAUGGUUAGAGGGGAAGGAUCGAACGGGCCUGCCUCUACAGAACCAACCUCAAUCGUUAGCCAGCUCCUGAAACAGUUUGCAGGAGAGGGAAGGACAUGAGGUGUGAAGGGGAGCCAAGGUAUCUCCCUUGGCGGACGAAAAGGGCAAGAGCAAACCCGAAAAGGCGGAGGAAGAAAAGAGGAAUAAGGAAAGAUGGAGAGGAUGUGGAAUGGCGAUAAAGGACAGGAUUGGAGGGGGAGGGACCGGAAGUAGAGGCGAUGGAAGGAGUGCUUGUAUCACAUGGAUGGUAAUUGUGUUGGUGUUGUGCUCCUGUCAAGCUGUCAGUAUAAAUCUGUUUGAUGGGUCACUUUGUAAAUCAUUAUGGAGCCUAAAAGCCUUUCUAUUGAACUCCAGAGGAACACGCUGCUGUAUGUUUCCUUUGUACCUCCAUGACUACAAUGUUAAUAUUGUUUGUUUUCCGGCCGUCCAGCGGUGAGGAUAUUAUUAGCUUAUAUCUCCUGUUUAAUUUUUUCCACUCCUCUCUUUUGUCCUUAAAGGGGGAGUGGAGUGGGAAUGUGUAUUACGGUUUCUAAAAUGUAAAUGUCAGAUUUGAUCCUGCUUGCGUUGCUGUCUUGUGUGUGUUCCACCUUGUUGCUGAUUCCUAGGGAGUACUGCUUGGCGUCCAUCAGUAAUGGCUUCCUAUUCCUUAUGUAGUGAACAAUGUUUGGUCCCUCCGUGUUGUCUGUGGGUCAGCUGAGGCCAGGGCCAGUAGUAAGAACCCGAGGAAUGUCUCACGCUGUGCCACUUCAUGGCCAGAUUUCAGCCUGUCUGUAGUGUGCAUGGUAUAGAGUAUUUUGGCGCUGUAGUGUG
ensembl:lncRNA